GACGGGUGGACUGUAUGGAAGUGAGUAUGGCGGCAUGAGUAACGAUAAAACAGGUGAGAAACCUGUUCGCCGAAAAUCCAAGGUUUCCUGAGGAAGGGUAAUCCUCUCAGGGUAAGUCGGCCCCUAAGGCAAGGCUGAAAAGCGUAGCUGAUGGGAAACGGGUUAAUAUUCCCGUACCGGCCAAAUCGCGUUAUUAGCGAUGGGGUAACGUAGAAGGGUAAUCUAUCCGGGUGUUGGAUGUCCCGGUACAAGCAGGUAGGAGGGUGGUUUUGGCAAAUCCGGACCGCCAUUCAACUCCGAGACGUGAUGUGGAGCUUCUCCUUCGGGACAAGCGAACUAGAUGAUCCCAUGCUACCUAGAAAAACCUCUAGUGAGCUGUUUGGCCGACCGUACUCUAAACCAACUCAGGUGGAUGAGUAGAGAAUACUAAGGCGCUUGAGAGAACUCUGGUUAAGGAACUCGGCAAAUUGACUCCGUAACUUAGGGAUAAGGAGUGCCCCCAUUAGGUGAAAGAACUUGCUUCUGGAGCCGACGGGGGUUGCAGUGACCAGGUAGCCGCGACUGUUUACUAAAAACAUAGGACUCUGCGAAGUCGCAAGACGAAGUAUAGGGUCUGACGCCUGCCCGGUGCCGGAAGGUUAAAAGGAGGGGUUAGUCUUCGGACGAAGCUCUGAAUUGAAGCCCCGGUAAACGGCGGCCGUAACUAUAACGGUCCUAAGGUAGCGAAAUUCCUUGUCGGGUAAGUUCCGACCUGCACGAAUGGUGCAACGAUCUGGAUACUGUCUCAGCCAUGAGCUCGGUGAAAUUGUAGUAACGGUGAAGAUGCCGUUUACCCGCUGUGGGACGAAAAGACCCCGUGAACCUUUACUAUAGCUUAGUAUUGACUUUGGAUAAGUAAUGUGUAGGAUAGGUGGGAGACUUCGACCUAGCGUCGCCAGGCGUUAGUGAGUCAUUGUUGAAAUACCACCCUUUACUUGUCUGAAGCCUAAUCCCUAACGGGAGACAGUGCUUGGUGGGUAGUUUGACUGGGGUGGUCGCCUCCAAAAGAGUAACGGAGGCUUCUAAAGGUUCCCUCAAUACGGUUGGCAAUCGUGUGUAGAGUGCAAUGGCAUAAGGG
rnacentral:rRNA from 1 species